rnacentral:lncRNA from 1 species
UGCUUAUUAAGCAUCUGGUAUCCCUCUAGUGCAUAUGAAGUGGAACAUGUAUAUGUUACUGGCACAGGUUCGUCGCAGCCGCCACCAUUACAUGACGAUUUGCUGCCCAACCUUCCCCUCUCCAGCUGCCACUUGCUAACUGUUGUGCUUCUAUUUGGACGUAUGGAUGUUCUUAUGCUGUCUUCUUUCGGAGCUGAUUUGCUGCCCUGCUCUCUUUUCCCCUUCUACUUCAAAGAAGUAAAAUUCAUGCUCUCUUCGACUAACAAUGAAGAAGGAUAUUGGCCUAUGCUUAAGGACAAGAGACAUUGAAGUCGCCCCAACAGAGUAAUGACGCCUUCUUUUUUACCGUUAGAUCAAUGACUUCAUUAC